rnacentral:tRNA from 1 species
CGAAAUAGCUCAAUUGGUAGAGCAACUGACUUGUAAUCAGUAGGUUCCGGGUUCAAGUCCUGGCUUCGGC